rnacentral:tRNA from 1 species
CAACAUAUAGUUUAAUUAAAAAUUUAAUUUUUGGGGAAUUAUGAUAAGUUUAUUUUUAUGUUGA